GAGAGUCCGUUAGUCGGAUACGAGCGCACCUUACCUUAUUUGCCAGCGAUUCGGUCGGGAACUAUAAGGGGACUGCCGGUGAUAAACCGGAGGAAGGUGAGGACGACGUCAAGUCAUCAUGGCCCUUACGAGUAGGGCUACACACGUGCUACAAUGGGAGAUACAGACGGACGCUAAGCCGCGAGGUGGUGCUAAUCCUAGAAAGUCUCUCGUAGUCCGGAUUGGAGUCUGCAACUCGACUCCAUGAAGUCGGAAUCGCUAGUAAUCGCGGAUCAGCAUGCCGCGGUGAAUACGUUCUCGGGUCUUGUACACACCGCCCGUCAUACCAUGGAAGUGGAUUGCACCAGAAGUAGAUAGUCUAACCCUAGGGAGGGCGUUUACCACGGUGUGCUUCAUGACUGGGGUAAAGUCGUAACAAGGUAGCCGUAGGGGAACCUGCGGCUGGAUUACCUCCUUUCU
rnacentral:rRNA from 1 species